UACGUAGGGCGCAAGCGUUGUCCGGAAUCAUUGGGCGUAAAGAGCUCGUAGGUGGUCUGUUACGUCUGCUGUGAAAUCCUAGGGCUUAACCCUGGGCCUGCAGUGGAUACGGGCAGACUAGAGGUAGGUAGGGGAGAAUGGAAUUCCCGGUGUAGCGGUGAAAUGCGCAGAUAUCGGGAGGAACACCGGUGGCGAAGGCGGCUCUCUGGGCCUUACCUGACACUGAGGAGCGAAAGCGUGGGGAGCGAACAGG
rnacentral:rRNA from 1 species